GAUGAACGCUGGCGGCGUGCCUAAUACAUGCAAGUCGAGCGAACGGACGAGAAGCUUGCUUCUCUGAUGUUAGCGGCGGACGGGUGAGUAACACGUGGAUAACCUCCCUAUAAGACUGGGAUAACUUCGGGAAACCGGAGCUAAUACCGGAUAAUAUUUUGAACCGCAUGGUUCAAAAGUGAAAGACGGUCUUUCUGUCACUUAUAGAUGGAUCCGCGCUGCAUUAGCUAGUUGGUAAGGUAACGGCUUACCAAGGCAACGAUGCAUAGCCGACCUGAGAGGGUGAUCGGCCACACUGGAACUGAGACACGGUCCAGACUCCUACGGGAGGCAGCAGUAGGGAAUCUUACGCAAUGGGCGAAAGCCUGACGGAGCAACGCCGCGUGAGUGAUGAAGGUCUUCUGAUCGUAAAACUCUGUUAUUAGGGAAGAACAUAUGUGUAAGUAACUGUGCACAUCUUGACGGUACCUAAUCAGAAAGCCACGGCUAACUACGUG
rnacentral:rRNA from 1 species